rnacentral:tRNA from 1 species
UUGAUAGAAGCCAAAAAGAGGUAUAUCACUGUUAAUGAUAUUAUUGAAUAUUAUUUCCUAUCAAU